UGGAUGGGCUUAGAAAAUAUAAGGGGUAUUUCCGUCAAUGUAAACAAAAUCCUCAUUUGGCCAUAUGUUUGACUGGACUGAGCAGACUGUUCCGCAACAAUGGGUACCGCCGGAGCUCUAUACUACUCCGUUCCACUGAACCACCAAUUCCACCGGCGGGGCAAUCCCUUUGUCCUCCCUGUCACUUGGCCACUCACCACUUCCUCUCCUCACCAAAUUAUCAAAUUAUAUUGCCGUCGAAGCUCCUGCUCAAGGCUCCUUUUAAAUCCUGCCCGUGCCUUACUUUCAAGUCAAUCUCAAGGGGGGAGCGGCAGCACUGAAGUUGAUCCGGAUCUUCGGUCAGUGCUUGAACUCGCAACUGAUUCUGAACUCUAUGAACUUCAAAAAAUUUUAUUUGGUCCAAGUUACUUUAGCCCAUUGUUGAAGUCAGUAACAAAGAGAGCUGAAUUUGAUUACGUUAUGAUUGGAGAAGACCUGGAGGAGAGGGAAGAUUUUUUGUCAAUGCUUGAAUCAAGAUUUUUAUACCUUGCAGCUGAUGCACGGUCCACAUUGAGGGGUAGGAGACCAUCAUAUUGGGAGGUAUUGCUUGGUGUCAGGGAAAAAUUAAGUAUAAGGUGCUCAGCCAAAUUGUCUGCAGAAGACCUGGAAGCUGAGAUUUUUCUUCAUCUGCUGCAAGAGUACUCAAGCUCAAAAGAAAGCUUGGAUGCGUCUGAUGAGCAUGGUAGUCUAGAGUUUGGGCUUAGUAGGUGGAAGGUACAAGCUGGUGCCGCAAUAAAGGCUGGGGCAGAAGGGGUCCGUUCAGUAAUGCUAAAGGGUGGAGGGGUGCUAACAUUGGGGAAGAUAUACAGUGGGUUAGCCAGGAGAUUCUCUGGAAAGAUGCUAUUGGAGGCUGCCAACUAUCAGAUAAGUAGGGAAGUCCUUAAAAAGGGUGGAGAAGUGGCGGCUCUUAACCUGGAGUCCAGAUUGGCCAUGCUGGCUGCAAGAAAGGGCUUAGCAGGUGCUGCCUCCCGUUAUUUUGGGUUAAGGAGCAUGAUGACAUUUCUUGGCCCAAUUCUGUGGGGAACGCUUCUAGCAGAUAUUGUCAUUCAAAUGCUUGGAACUGAUUAUGCCAGAAUCGUGCGAGCUAUUUAUGCAUUUGCACAGAUCCGAAUCACCCGCACAUACAAAACAUCUGAUGUUCAGUAAAGAAGCUUAUUUGGAGAUUGAACUCCUCUAAAGUUGCGCUGUGGCACAUGACACUGGAUACUAUUAGGCUGUUGGCUUUGAAGGUGAUGAUCUACUUGUGCACAGUAGUUAUUGGAGAGAAUGCUUCUCGCCGUGCUCAGAAAGGGCUUAUCUUCAUUGUACAUAUGCUUAGGCUGGAAGGCAAGAACAAAUUAUAACUACGAGAAGAAUAUGGCAACGUCUAAGCGUACAAUUAUCAACUCAAUUGCAGUACUGAGGAUACUCACUCUCGCCGCGUGUGCAGCUGCACUUGCGCUUAUUGUAACCAACAACUUCAAACUUGAUGGCGACAAAACCAAAUUCAGUGACAUCAAAGGCAUCAGGUAUGUAUUAGCUGCGGCUGCAGGGGGAGCGGUCUAUUCAUUAAUUCAGCUGCCUUUCGCAGUGUAUCAAGCCCUCAACGAGAAGAGGUUGAUCAAGGGCCAGUUUCUGCCUAUGUUUGAUUUUUACGGUGAUAAGGUGAUAGCGUUCUUCUUGGCAAGUGGAGUUGGCGUAGGAUUUGGCAUCAGUAUCGAACUCAAAAAAUUCAUAGACCAAUUAGUUGACAGCUUGGAAGUUUUAGGGGUAGAUGGACUUGAAGAAUUUGAGGACAAGACCAAAAAAUUUCUGGACAGGGGAAUUGUUGCUAGUGGAGUCCUCCUAGCUGGUUUUGCUACCAUGGCUAUACUCACCAUUCUUACUUCUUCCAACCGCAAUGGAAGAGGCCUCUAGCCCACACUAGAUGGAAAAAAGUACUACCAGCAAUUUUUUCUAUUGCCAUAUUUUGAAUAAAAUUUUGAAUAUAAUCAUUUCAUUUUGAGGUGUAA